rnacentral:tRNA from 1 species
GCCGACCUAGCUCAGCUGGUAGAGCACUUCCAUGGUAAGGAAGGGGUCGCGGGUUCGAGUCCCGCGGUUGGCU